AACGAACGCUGGCGGCGUGCCUAACACAUGCAAGUCGAGCGCGAAUGGAGCAAUCCUAGUAGAGCGGCGCACGGGUGCGUAACACGUGGAUAAUCUGCCUGGGUGUCUGGGAUAACCAGUCGAAAGACUGGCUAAUACCGGAUAAGACCACGGUCUCUUCGGAGGCUGUGAGAAAAGGUGGCCUCUGUAUACAAGCUAUCACAUCCAGANGAGUCCGCGGCCCAUCAGCUAGUUGGCGGGGUAAUGGCCCACCAAGGCGACGACGGGUAGCUGGUCUGAGAGGGCGACCGGCCACACGUGGGACUGAGAC
rnacentral:rRNA from 1 species